GACGAACGCUGACGGCGUGCUUAACACAUGCAAGUCGAACGGUGAAGCGCCUUCCUCUUUGGUGGGUGUGGAUGAGUGGCGAACGGGUGAGUAACACGUGAGUAACCUGCCCCCUUCUUCUGGAUAACCGCAUGAAAGUGUGGCUAAUACGGGAUAUUCUGGGUCUGUCGCAUGAUGGGUCUGGGAAAGAUAUUGUUUCGGUGGGGGAUGGGCUCGCGGCCUAUCAGCUUGUUGGUGGGGUGAUGGCCUACCAAGGCGGUGACGGGUAGCCGGCCUGAGAGGGUGGACGGUCACACUGGGACUGAGACACGGCCCAGACUCCUACGGGAGGCAGCAGUGGGGAAUAUUGCACAAUGGGCGCAAGCCUGAUGCAGCGACGCCGCGUGAGGGAUGGAGGCCUUCGGGUUGUGAACCUCUUUCGCCAGUGAAGCAGGCCUGCCUCGUUUGUGGGUGGGUUGACGGUAGCUGGAGAAGAAGCGCCGGCUAACUACGUG
rnacentral:rRNA from 1 species